UACGAGGGGUGCAAGCGUUAUUCGGAAUUAUUGGGCGUAAAGGGUGUGUAGACGGCUUUUUAAGUCAUUCGUGAAAUUCUUCAGCCUAACUGGAGGAGGUCGGGUGAUACUGAUUAGCUUGAGGGUGGAAGAGAGAAGUGGAAUUCUCGGAGUAGCGGUAAAAUGCGUAGAUCUCGAGAGGAACACCGAUGGCGAAGGCAGCUUCUUGGUCCAUACCUGACGUUGUGGCACGAAAGCGUGGGGAGCAAACAGG
rnacentral:rRNA from 1 species